rnacentral:rRNA from 1 species
UACGUAGGUGGCAAGCGUUGUCCGGAUUUACUGGGCGUAAAGAGCGCGCAGGCGGUCGUUCAAGUCGCGUGUGAAAGCCCCCGGCUCAACUGGGGAGGGUCACGCGAUACUGAUCGACUCGAAGGCAGGAGAGGGUAGUGGAAUUCCCGGUGUAGUGGUGAAAUGCGCAGAUAUCGGGAGGAACACCUAUGGCGAAGGCAGCUUGCUGGGACGGUACUGACGCUGAGACGCGAAAGCGUGGGGAGCAAACAGG